rnacentral:rRNA from 1 species
AGAGUUUGAUCCUGGCUCAGGACGAACGCUGGCGGCGCGCCUAACACAUGCAAGUCGAACGGAAUGCGGAGAGGAUUUAUCUUUUCUGUGUUUAGUGGCGAACGGGUGAGUAACGCGUGAGGAACCUGCCUCAAAGAGGGGGACAACAGUUGGAAACGACUGCUAAUACCGCAUAAGCCCACGGGGCCGCAUGGCCUUGAGGGAAAAGGAGCAAUCCGCUUUGAGAUGGCCUCGCGUCCGAUUAGCUGGUUGGUGAGGUAACGGCCCACCAAGCCGACGAUCGGUAGCCGG